rnacentral:rRNA from 1 species
AUUGAACGCUGGCGGCAUGCCUUACACAUGCAAGUCGAACGGCAGCGCGGGCUUCGGCCUGGCGGCGAGUGGCGAACGGGUGAGUAAUACAUCGGAACGUGCCCUAGAGUGGGGGAUAACUAGUCGAAAGAUUAGCUAAUACCGCAUACGAUCUCAGGAUGCAAUGGGGGGCCCGCAAGGCCUCAUGCUCCUGGAGCGGCCGAUGUCUGAUUAGGUUGUUGGUUGGGUAACGGCCCACCAAGGCGACGAUCAGUAGCUGGUCUGAGAGGACGUCCGGCCACACUGGGACUGAGACACGGCCCAGACUCCUACGGGAGGCAGCAGUGGGGAAUUUUGGACAAUGGGGGAAACCCUGAUCCAGCAAUGCCGCGUGUGUGAAGAAGGCCUUCGGGUUGUAAAGCACUUUUGUCAGGAACGAAACGGUGGGGGCUAAUACCUUCUGCUAAUGACGGUACCUGAAGAAUAAGCACCGGCUAACUACGUGACAGCCGCCGCGGUAA